AGAGUUUGAUCCUGGCUCAGGAUGAACGCUAGCGGCAGGCUUAACACAUGCAAGUCGAGGGGUAUAGUUCUUCGGAACUAGAGACCGGCGCACGGGUGCGUAACGCGUAUGCAAUCUACCUUUUGCAGAGGGAUAGCCCAGAGAAAUUUGGAUUAAUACCUCAUAGUAUAGUACCUUGGCAUCAAGGUGCUAUUAAAGUCACAACGGCAAAAGAUGAGCAUGCGUCCCAUUAGCUAGUUGGUAAGGUAACGGCUUACCAAGGCAACGAUGGGUAGGGGUCCUGAGAGGGAGAUCCCCCACACUGGUACUGAGACACGGACCAGACUCCUACGGGAGGCAGCAGUGAGGAAUAUUGGACAAUGGGCGCAAGCCUGAUCCAGCCAUGCCGCGUGCAGGAUGACGGUCCUAUGGAUUGUAAACUGCUUUUGUACAGGAAGAAACACUGGUUCGUGAACCAGCUUGACGGUACUGUAAGAAUAAGGAUCGGCUAACUCCGUGCCAGCAGCCGCGGUAAUACGGAGGAUCCAAGCGUUAUCCGGAAUCAUUGGGUUUAAAGGGUCCGUAGGCGGUCUUAUAAGUCAGUGGUGAAAUCUCCCCGCUCAACGGGGAAACGGCCAUUGAUACUGUAGGACUUGAAUUAUUAGGAAGUAACUAGAAUAUGUAGUGUAGCGGUGAAAUGCUUAGAGAUUACAUGGAAUACCAAUUGCGAAGGCAGGUUACUACUAAUGGAUUGACGCUGAUGGACGAAAGCGUGGGUAGCGAACAGGAUUAGAUACCCUGGUAGUCCACGCCGUAAACGAUGGAUACUAGCUGUUGGGAGCAACCUCAGUGGCUAAGCGAAAGUGAUAAGUAUCCCACCUGGGGAGUACGUUCGCAAGAAUGAAACUCAAAGGAAUUGACGGGGGCCCGCACAAGCGGUGGAGCAUGUGGUUUAA
rnacentral:rRNA from 1 species